rnacentral:rRNA from 1 species
GAUGAACGCUGGCGGCGUGCCUAUACAUGCAAGUAGAACGCUGAAGCUUGGUGCUUGCACCGAGCGGAUGAGUUGCGAACGGGUGAGUAACGCGUAGGUAACCUGCCUCUUAGCGGGGGAUAACUAUUGGAAACGAUAGCUAAUACGCAUAAAAGUCGAUAUCGCAUGAUAUUGAUUUGAAAGGUGCAAUUGCAUCACUAAGAGAUGGACCUGCGUUGUAUUAGCUAGUUGGUGAGGUAACGGCUCACCAAGGCGACGAUACAUAGCCGACCUGAGAGGGUGAUCGGCCACACUGGGACUGAGACACGGCCCAGACUCCUACGGGAGGCAGCAGUAGGGAAUCUUCGGCAAUGGGGGCAACCCUGACCGAGCAACGCCGCGUGAGUGAAGAAGGUUUUCGGAUCGUAAAGCUCUGUUGUAAGAGAAGAACGAGUGUGAGAGUGGAAAGUUCACACUGUGACGGUAACUUACCAGAAAGGGACGGCUAACUACGUGCCAGCAGCCGCGGUAAUACGUAGGUCCCGAGCGUUAUCCGGAUUUAUUGGGCGUAAAGCGAGCGCAGGCGGUUAGAUAAGUCUGAAGUUAAAGGCUGUGGCUUAACCAUAGUACGCUUUGGAAACUGUUUAACUUGAGUGCAGAAGGGGAGAGUGGAAUUUCCAUGUGUAGCGGUGAAAUGCGUAGAUAUAUGGAGGAACACCGGUGGCGAAAGCGGCUCUCUGGUCUGUAACUGACGCUGAGGCUCGAAGCGUGGGAGCAACAGG